GGGGGAUUAGCUCAGCUGGGAGAGCGCCUGCUUUGCACGCAGGAGGUCAGCGGUUCAAUCCCGCUAUUCUCCA
rnacentral:tRNA from 2 species